CGAGACGAGUGAGGGAGCCCAAGCGGAGUAGCCGACGUCAGCGAGAGAUUCCUGUUUCUUGAAGGAGGAACACCGUUUCCGCUGGUGCCGACAUCGACGCUCGGGCUGAGAGGCCGAAAGGUCGCAAGGACUGGACCUGACGGCGACCCCUGGAACCUGAUCCGGACAAUGCCGGCGAAGGGAACCCGCCUCGUAGGUCG
rnacentral:ncRNA from 1 species